UACGUAGGGUGCAAGCGUUAAUCGGAAUUACUGGGCGUAAAGCGUGCGCAGGCGGUUAUGUAAGACAGAUGUGAAAUCCCCGGGCUCAACCUGGGAACUGCAUUUGUGACUGCAUCGCUGGAGUGCGGCAGAGGGGAUGGAAUUCCGCGUGUAGCAGUGAAAUGCGUAGAUAUGCGGAGGAACACCGAUGGCGAAGGCAAUUCCCUGGCCUGCACUGACGCUCAUGCACGAAAGCGUGGGGAGCAAACAGG
rnacentral:rRNA from 1 species